rnacentral:rRNA from 1 species
UACGUAGGGUGCAAGCGUUGUCCGGAAUUAUUGGGCGUAAAGAGCUCGUAGGCGGUCUGUCGCGUCUGCUGUGAAAACACGGGGCUCAACUCCGUGCCUGCAGUCGAUACGGGCAGACUAGAGUUCGGUAGGGGAGACUGGAAUUCCUGGUGUAGCGGUGAAAUGCGCAGAUAUCAGGAGGAACACCGGUGGCGAAGGCGGGUCUCUGGGCCGAAACUGACGCUGAGGAGCGAAAGCGUGGGGAGCGAACAGG